GACGAACGCUGGCGGCGUGCUUAACACAUGCAAGUCGAACGGAAAGGCCCUGCUUUUGUGGGGUGCUCAAGUGGCGAACGGGUGAGUAACACGUGAGUAACCUGCCCUUGACUUUGGGAUAACUUCAGGAAACUGGGGCUAAUACCGGAUAGGAGCUCCUGCUGCAUGGUGGGGGUUGGAAAGUUUCGGCGGUUGGGGAUGGACUCGCGGCUUAUCAGCUUGUUGGUGGGGUAGUGGCUUACCAAGGCUUUGACGGGUAGCCGGCCUGAGAGGGUGACCGGCCACAUUGGGACUGAGAUACGGCCCAGACUCCUACGGGAGGCAGCAGUGGGGAAUAUUGCACAAUGGGCGGAAGCCUGAUGCAGCAACGCCGCGUGCGGGAGGACGGCCUUCGGGUUGUAAACCGCUUUCGCCUGUGACGAAGCGUGAGUGACGGUAAUGGGUAAAGAAGCACCGGCUAACUACGU
rnacentral:rRNA from 1 species